GUGGUGUUUUGGUUCCAGCACUGAGCAGUGUGCUGAAGCUUCUGUGACUCCACACAGAGUGAGGCUGGUUCCUGCCGACAGGGCCUGUAAAGACGUCGGUCCUCCUGUGCGAUGGUUCCAUACAAA